rnacentral:rRNA from 1 species
GUGAACUCGGCAAAAUGCCCCCGUAACUUCGGGAGAAGGGGGACCAGUCCUGGUGACGACAUUUACUGUCUGAGCUGGGGUUGGUCGCAGAGACCAGAGAGAAGCGACUGUUUACUAAAAACACAGGUCCGUGCGAAGUCGUAAGACGAUGUAUACGGACUGACGCCUCCCCGGUGCUGGAAGGUUAAGAGGACCGGUCAGCCACUUCGGUGGCGAAGCUGAGAAUUUAAGCCCCAGUAAACGGCGGUGGUAACUAUAACCAUCCUAAGGUAGCGAAAUUCCUUGUCGGGUAAGUUCCGACCUGCACGAAUGGCGUAACGACUUCUCUGCUGUCUCAACCACAGACUCGGCGAAAUUGCAGUACGAGUAAAGAUGCUCGUUACGCGCGGCAGGACGAAAAGACCCCGGGACCUUCACUAUAGCUUGGUAUUGGUGUUCGGUUCGGUUUGUGUAGGAUAGGUGGGAGACUGUGAAACUCGCACGCCAGUGUGGGUGGAGUCAUUGUUGAAAUACCACUCUGACCGUAUUGGACAUCUAACCUCGGACCAUGAUCUGGUUCAGGGACAGUGCCUGGUGGGUAGUUUAACUGGGGCGGUUGCCUCCUAAAAAGUAACGGAGGCGCCCAAAGGUUCCCUCAGCCUGGUUGGCAAUCAGGUGUUGAGUGUAAGUGCACAAGGGAGCUUGACUGUGAGACGUACAUGUCGAGCAGGGACGAAAGUCGGGACUAGUGAUCCGGCACCGGCAAGUGGAAGCGGUGUCGCUCAACGGAUAAAAGGUACCCCGGGGAUAACAGGCUGAUCUUCCCCAAGAGUCCAUAUCGACGGGAUGGUUUGGCACCUCGAUGUCGGCUCGUCGCAUCCUGGGGCUGGAGUAGGUCCCAAGGGUUGGGCUGUUCGCCCAUUAAAGCGGCACGCGAGCUGGGUUUAGAACGUCGUGAGACAGUUCGGUCUCUAUCCGCCGCGCGCGUAAGAAACUUGAGGAAACCUGUCCCUAGUACGAGAGGACCGGGACGGACGAACCUCUGGUGUGCCAGUUGUUCCACCAGGAGCACCGCUGGUUAGCUACGUUCGGAAGGGAUAACCGCUGAAAGCAUCUAAGCGGGAAGCCUGUUCCAAGAUGAGGUUUCUCACCACCUAGCGUGGUUAAGGCCCCCCACAGACCAUGGGGUUGAUAGGCCAGAACUGUAAGCACAGCAAUGUGUUCAGGUGACUGGUACUAAUCGGCCGAGGACUUACC